GUCUGCAGUUCCGCUUCCGCCCUGUCAGUUACCUUGGACCCUCGGACCGGAAGCAGAUGAUCCUCCCCGGCCCGCAGGUCAGAGGCUGUGCGAGCCUGAGCUACUGCUGCACCCCGCGCCUGCGCAGUCACACUUUCGGCACCCAGAAGCGCAUUUUCUCCUCUCCUGCCGCAGUCGCGAGAAGGGUGAGCGGGCACCUUCCCAUACGCUCAUUACGUUCUGUCGUUCCAGGUGCCGUUACUCAUUCCGUGCCUACGACCUGUGCCAUCCACGUGUGGAAAGAGUACUGAUUGCUCAUUUUCGUCUACGUUCAGAAAGGGGCGAGUGCUAAAGUUUCCUCCAGGAUGACUCUUCAGUUCUUGUGGCUGAAUUGAAACAAUGAAAGGCACAAGGCAAUGUAAUCUAGGAAGAAUAGAAGAGGAAGAACUAAAUGCAGUCUUGGAAUCUUGGGAGCCUGUUUACUCCGAUUCGUCCCCGGGAGACUGAGCAAACAACCCAUCACUGUGUGCAUCCACUGAGGUGAUGCCGUCCCACACACAUGGCCUGAGCAAGCCGCCAGCAACAGACUGCAUGUGAAUUCCGGGCACCAGUGGAACAGAAGCACUGAACGUCAUUUCUUUUUAAAGCAAGGCAACAAAAGUUGUUCUUAAGGGAGUAUCAGGACUUCAUUGAACUUCAUUACAAGUAAUUUUUUUUUUGUAAAUUUUUUUAAUGUUUUUAUUUAUUUUUAAGAGGGAGCAGGACAAAGCGUGAGCAGUGGAGGGGCAGAGAGAGAGGGAGACACAGAAUCCGGAGCAGACUCUAGGCUCUGAGCCGUCAGCACAGAGCCCAAUGCGGGGCUCGAACCUAUGAACUGUGAGAUCAUGACCUGAGCCCCCCUCAGGCUCUCAACCGACUGAGCCACCCAGGCGCCCCUCAGAAGAGAAUUCACCCUUAGCUUCGAGGGUGAGGAUGUGGCCUGAGUAUCUCCAAUCAGAAUGAAUCUCAGGAAUCUCGUUCGGAAACAUUCC